rnacentral:lncRNA from 1 species
UCCCCGAAGGGGAGGUUAAUAAGUGAUGCUGGAAGCACUUCUAAUGCAGACAUGUGUUAUGGAUAUAAAAGUGAUGAAGGGUGCCAAGUUGCAAAUGCAGACAUGUGUUAUGGAUAUAAUAGCGAUGGAGGGUGCCAAAAAUGGGAGGAAAUACCAAAUUGUAGGGAACCUGGUGAGGUUUUUCGGAAAAUGGUGGGAAGACCAAAUAAAGACAAUGCAACAACAGAUGAACCUGCUAAUGGUUACGAUGAUUGCAAGAUGAGAUGUUGGAGAAAUUGUAAUUGCUAUGGAUUCGAAGAAUUAUACAGUAAUUUUACUGGAUGUAUAUACUAUUCAUGGAAUUCGACACAAGACGUUGAUUUGGACAAAAAGAAUAACUUUUACGCCUUGGUAAAGCCAACAAAAUCACCUCCGAAUUCCCAUGGUAUAUAACAUUUAGUAUCAUUUUAAUUAGAUAGAUUUUUUUUAGUAUGAUUCUAGAAAUAUUUCCUUCUAUUAUAGCCGGUGUCGGUCUAAGGACAACUGAAGUGCAAAUAAAAUUGAUUGAAAUCAAACAUCUUAUACGCCACCACUUAGUUUUUUUAUUUUAUUUGUGUAUAGUCAAUGCAGGUAAGAGGAGGAUAUGGAUAGGUGCUGCAAUCGCAACUGCUUUACUCAUAUUAUGCCCACUCAUUUUAUUCCUAGCCAAAAAGAAACAAAAAUAUGCACUACAAGGUAUAUGGUUACUUUAAAAUAGUUAAUCCAGGUAAAAAAAAAGAUGGAUAUGUAUAGGUUCUAUUUUUAUCUUUGAUUUUUUUUGGUUAUGUAGGUAAGAAAAGUAAAAGAAAGGAGGGUAAGAUGAAAGAUUUGGCGGAAUCCUAUGAUAUCAAAGAUCUUGAAAAUGACUUCAAAGGACAUGAUAUAAAAGUUUUUAACUUUACAUCAAUUUUGGAAGCAACUAUGGAUUUUUCAUCUGAAAACAAGUUAGGACAGGGAGGCUAUGGACCCGUUUAUAAGGUGACUUGAAAACAAAUGUUUAUAAUGUGGUAAUAUUUUUUUCAUGGUUGGCGAAUUUUGUUUCGGACAAAACAUCUAUGCAUUGGUUUUAGGUAUAUUUAGUAUAUGGUUAUCAACUUAAGUAUCCAUUAUUUCUUCAAAUACAUAAUUUUCUCAGAGAUCCAUUAAAAAGCAUCUAAGAAAAUACAUCUAAAUUAUGACUUCAGGGAAUCUUGGCAACAGGACAAGAAGUUGCUGUAAAAAGACUUUCAAAAACAUCUGGACAAGGAAUUGUGGAAUUCAGAAAUGAAUUGGCAUUGAUAUGUGAACUUCAACACACAAAUCUUGUACAACUACUUGGUUGUUGCAUUCAUGAAGAAGAAAGGAUUCUAAUUUACGAAUAUAUGCCAAAUAAAAGCUUGGAUUUCUAUCUAUUUGGUGAGAAUAUGUUGAAGGCUAUAUUUGUAUGUGAUCUUUUUUUUUUUUUUUUUUUUUUAUUAUGAAGAAAUCAUAAAAUUGUGUCUAUUAUUAUGUUAUAAAUAGAGCACAAUUAUAAAUAAAGUUAUGGGAUCUUUAUUUUGGAUAGUUCACUAAAAUAACAUGUUAUUCUAACUUAAUAACCAAUAUCAUGUUUUAUGUGACUCAUUAGUUAGUCAUAGAAAUCUAAAAUGGCAUUUUAGUUUUCUACUUUUGAUUAGUAUACAUUUUAACAUUAAGUAUCAUGUUUUCAUUGACAAGAUUGUACAAGAAAAAAGUUACUAGACUGGAAGAAGCGCCUGAACAUAAUCGAAGGAAUUUCUCAAGGAUUACUCUAUCUUCAUAAGUACUCUAGACUCAAAAUCAUUCAUAGAGACUUGAAGGCUAGCAACAUACUCCUUGAUGAGAAUUUGAACCCGAAAAUUUCAGAUUUCGGUAUGGCAAGAAUGUUCACGCAACAAGAAUCAAUAGUUAACACCAACAGGAUUGUUGGGACAUAGUAGGUUUUCUAAGCUUUCCCUGUUUCUACCUUUUUAUCGAUGAUUACGUAAAAGAGUUGGGAUUAUUAACAAGAUUUUGGUGCAGUGGAUACAUGUCUCCAGAAUAUGCCAUGGAAGGAAUUUGUUCAACAAAGUCUGAUGUUUAUAGCUUUGGAGUGUUGCUUCUUGAAAUUAUUUGUGGAAGAAAAAACAAUAGCUUCCAUGAUGUUGAUCGCCCACUAAACCUAAUAGGACAUGUAUGUAAAUUUACUCACAUUGACUUUUAUUUUUAAAAUAUAUCAUUCCUUGUUCCUAAUUUGAUUAAACUCCUAACAGGCAUGGGAGCUAUGGAAUGAUGGUGAGUAUCUACAGUUACUGGAUCCAUCUUUAUGUGACACAUUUGUUCCUGAUGAAGUGCAAAGGUGCAUUCAUGUUGGUCUCUUAUGUGUACAACAAUAUGCUAAUGAUCGACCUACAAUGUCCGAUGUUAUAUCAAUGUUAACAAACAAAUAUAAACUCACAACUUUACCAAGAAGACCGGCAUUCUAUAUUAGAAGAGAGAUCUAUGACGGGGAAACAACUUCUAAAGGGCCAGACACCGACACCUAUUCUACGACAGCAAUUUCUACCUCAUGUGAAGUAGAAGGAAAAUAUAAGUAAUCAAUAUAUAUUGGUCAAAAACUGCAAGCUAGAAUGUAAGUAAAAAAAGGCUUGAUUAUGGUAUUGGUUUAUGUAAUAUUCUCAUUUUCUGUGCUUGUAAAAUGUAAUAUACUCAUUUUCUGUACUUGUAAAAAUAUUAUCAAAAUGGUCUACUUUCUAUUGAAAAACUAGUUAGUUGAUACUUGUGAAUCUAACUGUGCAACACAAGAGCAUGAAUGAAUUGUCUCUUACUGAUAAUCAUUGCCAUUGUCUCUUACUUUUUCUUUGACACUAUUUCGUGUGCAUUGCUUGCCGGAUCGAUCUGGAUGUUCCUCUUUUCCGGAUUGGAUUAUGCGUUUCUUUUUCAAAUUUUGAAGGAAAAUAGGUAAUGGAAGUAGGAGACAAGUACAGAAACCACAACCAUAUGUAGAUAUGAAAAAUGCAAACAAAUUAACUUGUGAUGUUAAGGAAAUAAGAAAAAGUUAAAUAUUCAAUUGCCUUUGUUUAUUCAUUUUCGGCACAAUAGGAUUCAAUGCGACACCAAACUUGCUACCUCUAUGCCAUGAAAAACGAAAACACACACCAAAGAUAACACUAACAAUUCAAUACGACAAUAAUGUGAGAAAAUAUAAUGAUUAUAUGGAAUUGAGAAAAGAAACAUUGUAUGGGAAUAGAUGGAAUUCACAAAUACAGAAGCUGCAAAGAUGUGAAUAGAUGGAAUUGCGAAAAAAAUUAAAUAUAUGGAAUCGAGUGUGCUUAUUGAAUUUUCAACGCUGCACUUUGCCGCAAUCGCUACUGUGGUAGACAUUUUUUUUUUGAAUUUAUUCCUUCUUCUGCUUUCUGAUUUCGCGAUUCUUCGAUAUGAUCUGAAUAAUGUGAAAAAUAGUUCUACGCUUGGAAUGUUACAAAUUUUGCAAUUGUCUAAGUUUAGCAAUAUUUCUUCAACAUAAUUCUGCAUAGGUCCAAGAGAAAGAGAAUUGAACAUUAAGAAACAAGGCAAAGUGCAUUGGAAAAGUGGAAAACUUGGAAGCAAUGGAUUAUUCGAGAACAUUCUAGAGAAUGUCCAACAUGUGUAUCGAUACAUGAUUGUCUCUAACAAAGAUGAAGACUCCUUCAGUUUUGAAAUCAAAGGUUGUAAGUAUUAAAAGUUUCCAGGGUAGAUACUAUUAUAUACUGGAAGGUUAACAAGUAAUGAAGGAUACUAUAAUAAUAGUAAUGGUGGAUGCCAAAAAUGGGAGAAUAUACUGUCAAGCGUUGCUGAAAUCAUUUAGUAACACGGUCUUUACCUAACAUUUGUCAAAUGUUUCAAGAUCUAAAUAGUAACAUUUAUUUUUGAUUUAGUUACAAUUUUGAAUUGUUACUAAAUCUUAUAUAUGUUGUAGUGUCGGACUGGUUGUAUAUUCUAUUCAUGAAUUUCACCAAAAGAUCUUAAUUUUGGGGACGAUACUAGUUUUCUUCCCUCCAUGGUAAGUUUAAUAUAUUUAAAUUUGAAUCUAAUGGAUAUUAACUGUUAUAUAUAUAUAUAUAUAUAUAUAUAUAUAUAUAUAUCAUAUCACCCCACUUUUGAAAAUAUAUUUUAAAUCGAAUGGUGGAUAUUAGGGUAAAAUUAAUUUCCAUCGACAAUAGAGAAUUUUGGAUUGACUUUUUUUUUUAAAUUUUUUUUAAGUCGUUAUUUCAAUUAUAUCUUUAAAUAAUUUUUUCUAUAAUAAUGUUAUAUUGUUGGCGUUAUUAAAAAAUAUAAGAAUUUUUAUUAUAUUAUUGUUGUCAUUGAAAAAGAUAAACAUGAUUUGUUGACUUUGUUACAAAAAUUAUAUAAAACAUUGUUUGUAAUUUUCACGCAAAUUUUAAAUAAAAUAUCGUUGAUAAUAUACACGUGCUAGUGUAAUAAAAAUAGCAAAAAGAAGGGCACGUGAGUGCCCGUAAUAAUAAUAAUAAUAAUAAUAAUAAGAAUAAUAAUAAUAGAUAGAUAGAUAAAUAGAUAGAGAGAUAGACAGUGUUGAACCAAAGUGAGUUUUAGAACAAUGUCUCUAAAGUUUUGAUGAUAACAAUGUAUGAAAGAACAAUUGGAUACACAAAUGUGUGUUCAAGUGUGCAGUACCAUAAAAUUAAAUUCUAACUCUGAAGUCAACUUGUUGGUUCUGAAAUACCAAAAUUUGAAUGCAAAUGAAUGCUUUUGAUAUUCAAGAGAAGCUCUGAAAAAUACGACUAUGAUCUGAAGUUGCACAAAUCCUUACAGAUUCUAAUGGAAAGCAAAUUCUUAUGUAAGUACACUCUAAUGUACAUGUCCUUGGUCAACUGGACACCUCAUGGUCAACUCUAAUGAACUCUGACCAGUUUUGUCUUUUUCUGGAGAGACGUCACUAUCAAGUUAUGAAGCAUUUUUUAUCUUCUUAUGACCACGUGUACAAAAAAUUGAAAGACAAGGAAGAUGCAACAAAUCAUUCAAAAAGAAGCAAAAGAACACAUCAAGUACGAUUCAAUGAAGUCCACAAGAGUAUCAAAAGUCUAUUGAGUUUUAAGUUAGUUUACCACUUUGAGUAUCAAAGUGUAAACACAAUAAUUUUUUUUUUUUUUAAACUUUGAUCGUAGAAGUCCUCAAGUGUGAGGAAAGUUUUUUUUAGACAUGUGUAUGUAAGUAAUUGUAACCUUGUGUGAUAUAUUAUAAUGGAAAAUCUUUUGGAAAUGUAAGGGGACUGAACUAAUUAACCUCGAAUUAUGGGUAAUUGCUUGAGUUGUUCUCUUCUCUCUUUAUCUUUCUAUACUUUGUUUUGUUUUCAAACUUUACUUCCCUUUUUGUUUUUCUCACCUUUAGAUAGAUUAAGAUCCGAAAAAGUGUAUACCCAUUUUAUUUGAUUGCUAGGAAGAAAAAAAAAAUACUCACCAAGACAUGAGAAGGGUGGUUUCAGUUUGAAAUCUUACAAUGCAUUGCACAUCUUUGAACAACAAGAUAAGUAAUUAUUUGGCUCUCAUCAGAUUUCAUGUCCCACCAAUUCAAUCAGAGAAGCGUAAUCUUUAUUUUCCACUACAAAAUGUUCCACAAGAGUACCUUUCUCCAGCACUUCUUUUUAAAAGAAAAGAAAAAUAGAUCAGUGUACUUUAGCACAAUCAUUGAAGGAUAAGUAAUGGAAAGUUGAUAACAUCACUGUUGUCUGUUUAUUCUAUUGACAUAUUUAGAACUUAAUCUACUAACAAUUUUAAUAUAGCCUAAAGUAAUGGAAAUUAAAUAAUAUGAUAAGAUACUGUUUUUUUUUUCUUUCUAUUUUGAAUAUGCUUUAUUCUAGAAAAGAAUACGUCUAUCAUUUUUGUAAUACUUUUUUGAAUAGUAAAAAUAGUAAUAAAAGGUUGAAUUAUUUUUACUUAUUAUGUUAACCAUUUGGUCAGGGAGGUAAUUAAAAUCUGAUAAAUAAUUUUUCCACCUAAAAUGUUAAAUUACUUUGUAGGUAACCUAAUUACUUUCGAAUUUUUAAAUAGAUUUCCUUACAAUUUUUUUAGCUACUGAAUUUUUUAUAAUUUUGAAUAUUUUUUUAUCUAGAAAAUUAUUGGAUUAUUAAUUGUCCAAAUUGAUCAAUGACAUGAGCAAUCAGUUAUUACUCCAUCCGUCAACAACACCUUGUCCUCAAGGCUGUAAUAAAAAAAAGAAUUUGGAUAACUUCUAUGACAGCCUUAUACGUAUUAGGGUUUUUUUAUCAUGUGCAAAUUUGCACAUGUUAACACGUUUAAAGUAGUAAUUUUGACUUGAAACUUGUAUUUUUUAAUAUUAAAUAUGUAACUUUUACUCAAUAAUUGUUGGUUUUCAAUGAAAAGUUACUACUUUUGGUUACCUUAACAUGUGCAAUAUUGCACAUGUAAGACAAACCCUACGUAUUAUUACAUAUAUGGGAUGGAGUAAGUAAUAAUAACGCCAUAUGGAGUAAAAAAAAAAAAAGAACAGUUAAGAAUUAAAUAAUGAAAUUCUAAGUCUUUCUCAAUUUCUAUGACCUAUUCCGACUCUAAUUUGAAUAAUUAUAUGUAUUCAUUUCCUAAUUUGAAUAAUCUAAAUAGAGUUGGAACAAAAAAACCAGAACCGUAGACACUGUGAACAAUGUUUUUAGGGUAAUUAUUAUCUUUACAUAUUAAAGUAAACUGAUCUUUACCUUUAACUUUAAAAAAAGUUGUGAAGAAAGGUCUAGUGCAACAUUUUGCAGUUGAAAAAUAAAGAUAAAGUUGAUUUGAGUAAGAGUUGGGAAGUGCAUAUCUUUUUCUUUUCCUUUUUCAAUCCAAUCCAAAGUUGGGCAGUGCAGAUAGUAAGAGUUUAAAUUAUUCUCCUUCGGGUUCGAUAAGUAUAUUUCUCUUCUUUUUGAAACAAUAUUCAUCGAUCAUGAUAAGCUUUAAGAUAAAGAAACAAGUUGUAUUGAUAUACUUAUGGUUGUGGUGGAUUACUUCUACUAACAUUUGUGUUAAUGCAACAAAUGAUAGUUUGAAGCCAGGUGAUACAUUGAAUUCCAAAUCCAAGCUAUGUUCUAAACAAGGCAAGUAUUGUCUAUAUUUCAAUCGAACAUUAGAUAGCGAAGAUGCUCACUUGGUCAUUGGUGUUAAUGCCGAGUAUGGCGCAGUAGUGUGGAUGUAUGAUAGAAAUCAUUCCAUUGACUUAAAUUCAGCAGUUCUAUCACUAGAUUAUUCUGGUGUGCUCAAAAUAGAAUCAUAAAAUAGGAAACCAAUAAUCAUUUACUCGUCACCUCAACCCAUAAACAACACUUUGGCCACUAUAUUAGACACAGGUAACUUUGUGCUUCAACAAUUUCACCCAAAUGGGACAAAUAGUUUAUUAUGGCAGAGUUUUGAUUAUCCCGAUCACACUUUGAUCCCAACGAUGAAGUUGGGAGUUAAUCGAAAAACUGGACAUAAUUGGUCAUUGGUUUCAUGGAUGACUCCUUCGCUACCAACUCCAGGUGAAUUUAGUCUUGAAUGGGAACCAAAAGAAGGUGAAUUGAACAUCAAGAAAAGCGGCAUAGCGUAUUGGAAAAGCGGAAAACUUAAUAGCAAUGGAAUAUUCGAGAACAUUCCCACGAAAGUUCAACGUAUAUAUCAGUACAUUAUUGUCUCUAACAAGAAUGAAGAUUCUUUCGCUUUCGAAGUUAAAGAUGGGAAGUUUGCACGAUGGCAACUAACCUCGAACGGGAGGUUAGUAGGUCAUGAUGGAGAUAUUGGGAAUGCAGAUAUGUGUUAUGGAUAUAAUAGCAAUGGAGGGUGCCAAAAAUGGGAGGAAAUACCAAAUUGUAGGGAAAAUGGUGAGGUUUUUCAGAAAAUGGUGGGAACACCAACCUUAGACUAUGAAACAGUGUUUGAAUUCGAUGUGACUUAUAGUUACAGUGAUUGCAAGAUUAGAUGUUGGAGAAAUUGUUAUUGCAAUGGAUUCCAGGAAUUUUAUGGUAAUGGGACUGGAUGUACAUUCUAUUCAUGGAAUUCAACACAAUAUGUUGAUUUGGUGAGUCAGAAUAACUUCUACGUCUUGGUAAACUCUAUAAAAUCAGCCCCAAAUUCCCAUGGUACGUAACUUAAUUAUAAUAUCAUUUUUAAGUGAUUAUUUACUGCUUAUUCACCGUAGAUAUUGUCUCUUCCUUCAGCCAUUAGAUAAUCGGUGUCAAUCUAUGGAUAUUUAUGUGCAAUUUUGCCUAGUUAUGUCUAGUUAUAGGUUUUCUUUCAACUGAGGUCUUGGUGAUAUCCCCCUUUUUUUGUAAUACUUUUCUUUUGUUGAAUAUAUUUUGGGUGAGCAAGCCUCUGCUGCUCCCUAGUUUUUUAUUUAUUAUAAAAAAGUGCAAAUAAAAUUAAAUUCAAUUGAACAUGUUGUAAUGAGUCUAAUAAAUCCCAUCACUUAGUUUUUGAAUAGGAAGCAUGUUGAGGGUUCAAGUCUUGACAAAGAAAAUUACCAACAUACAAUAGUUAACCUACUAAUGUUUUUUGAAUAGGAAGCAUUAGUAGGUUAAUUAUUGUGUUAGUAAUUACUUAGCUCAAUUAUGUUGAGCUACCAAACCCCUCCUCCAUCACUUGGUACUAUCUUAUAAAUUAGAUUUUCUAAAGUGUCACGUUAAAUUUUAAAGUAAAGAUUCAUUUGUAUAUUAACCGGUUAGUCUAUUUAAAGAUAUAUAUGACAACGUUACUUAUUUAAAGAAAUUGAUAUGAAAUAGCUCAUUAAGUAUAGCCAUAAAAAUCAUAUAAGGUAUCCAAAAGGGUCAAACUAGGAACUAAAAAAAUGCCUAUGACAAGUAAUAAACCAAACUUAUGAUUGAAUUUUUCGAACUGAUCAUGCAUAGGUCUUACAAAUCCUAAUCGAUCCUAACUUAUUUCCGCUCCUACCUAUGGAUCAUAAGAUAUGACAAUUCAAAAUAAAUACUUAAACUACCCAUUGUCCUUAAGUGACAAACUUGCCUUGUACCUUAAUUGGCGAAAAAUGCAAUUUGAUCAAGAAAAGGUUGAAAAAAAAAAAUCUUUGUUUCACAAGACCUAAAGAACACAAAUAAAAUAGAAAGGUAUCAAAGGGAUAUAUUUCUAUUGAUCAAUGUUAGAAACAAUAGCCAAAAUGACUUAGCUAAAAUGAAACAUCAACCAACUUUUGUUAUAAGUUUCUCGAUUUUCCUAAAGAUAUAUCGCAACCGAUGAAAUUGAAAUUGUAUUAGUCAAGGGAAAGUUAUAAGUGUUUGAACGUUAGAGGGUAUAGUUUUCUCAGGUGACUAAACUUGUAAUGGAAAAUAUAAUCAUGAAGAUUCCAAAAGUCGUAUUUAUAUACAAGGUUUUUGAAUUUGAAGGAUAGGAUUAGGGUUUGGUAUCACAUUCAAAUUAAUUGUGUAUAGUCAAUGCAGGUAAAAAAAAGUGGAUAUGGAUAACUUCUACAAUCGCAGCUGCUUUACUCAUAUUUUGCCCAAUCAUUUUAUGCUUAGCCAAAAAGAAACAAAAAUAUGCACUUCAAGGUAUAUGGAUACUUCAAAAUAGUCUAGUUCAAAUGUACUAAAUCCAAUACCUUUACGACUUUACUUUCUAUUUUGUCUUUUUUUUUUUUUUUUUUUUUUUAUGUAGAUAAGAAAAGUAAAAGAAAGGAUUUGGCGGAUUCGACUGAAUCCUAUAAUAUCAAAGAUCUUGAACAUGACUUCAAGGAACAUGAUAUAAAAGUUUUUAACUUUACAUCAAUUUUGGAAGCAACUAUGGACUUUUCACCUAAAAACAAGUUAGGACAGGGCGGCUAUGGACCCAUUUAUAAGGUAACUUUAAAGUUCAACUGCAUUAAUUAUACAUUAAUGAUUAGGUUUGUUUAAAAGCAUGUUGUAAAUUACUAUCACAGUUAUGGCACCAUCUUCAUGUUGCAAACAAAUGUUUAUAAUGUGGAAAUAUUGUUUUUGAUGGUUGGUGAUUAUUGUUUUGGAUAAAACUUAUAUGCAUCUGUUUUGGUAUGUUCUUAGGUAUUUAUUCUUUUUUGUAUGGAUUUAACUCUAAUAUCAAUGAUUUUUUCAAAUUCAUAAUCUUUGCAAUGUUUGUUGUUACAACUAGAAAAAGUGUAUUAAUUGUUAAGAACCGUAUUAAAAUAAUAUAAGGAAAUGCACCUAAAUUUUGUCCUUUUGUUUUACGACUUCAGGGAAUCUUGGCAACCGGGCAAGAAGUUGCUGUAAAAGGACUUUCAAAAACAUCCGGACAAGGAAUUGUAGAAUUCAAAAAUGAAUUGGUCCUUAUAUGUGAACUUCAGCACAGAAAUCUUGUAGAACUACUUGGUUGUUGCAUUCAUGAAGAAGAGAGGAUUCUAAUUUACGAAUAUAUGUCAAACAAAAGCUUGGAUUUCUACCUAUUUGGUGAGAAUAUGUUGAAGUCUAUUUUGUAUGUGAUGUUUUUUUAGGACAAAUUCAUAAAGUUGUGUUCAUUAUUAUGUAACAAUUAAAGCACAAUUACAACAAAACUUGAGUUUUCUUAACUAAACAUUUUCUGAAAUAAUUGUUGAUAGUUCACGGAAAUAACGUGUUAUCCUAACUUGAAAAUAACCAAGUAAAUCUCAUGUUCUUUGUGACUCAUUAGCUAGCCAUAUAAAAUUAAAAUAGCAUUUUGGUUUGAUACUUUUGAGUAGUAUAAAUUUUAGCAUUAAUUGUUAUGUUUUCAUUGAGAAGAUUGUACAAAAAAGAAGCUGCUAGAUUGGAAGAAGCGUUUUAACAUAAUAGAAGGAAUUGCUCAAGGAUUGCUCUAUCUUCAUAAGUACUCAAGACUCAAAAUUAUUCAUAGAGACUUGAAGGCGAGCAACAUACUUCUUGAUGAGAAUAUGAACCCAAAAAUUUCUGAUUUUGGUAUGGCAAGAAUGUUCACACAACAGGAAUCCGUAGUAAAUACCAACAGGAUUGUUGGGACAUAGUGAGAUUUCUAGACUUUUAUGGUUUCCAAUGUUUUUUAUUGAUGAUUUUGUAAAACAUUAUUUAUUUUUUAAAGUUAUGAUUCUUUUGUGCAGUGGAUACAUGUCUCCAGAAUAUGCCAUGGAAGGAGUUUGUUCUACAAAGUCUGACGUCUAUAGCUUUGGAGUGUUGCUACUUGAAAUCGUUUGUGGGAGAAAAAACAAUAGCUUCUAUGACGUUGAUCGCCCACUAAAUCUAAUAGGACAUGUAUGUCAGUUACUUUCAUCGAGUUUUUUUUAAUAAAUAUUACAUGUUGUUCCUAAUUUGAUUAAAUUAUUAAUAGGCAUGGGAGCUAUGGAAUGAUGGUGAGUAUCUACAGUUAAUGGAUCCAACAUUAAAUGACACAUUUGUUCCUGAUGAAGUGAAAAGGUGCAUUCAUGUUGGUCUCUUAUGUGUAGAGCAAUAUGCAAAUGAUCGACCAACAAUGUCUGAUGUUAUAUCUGUGUUAACAAACAAAUACCAACUCACAAACUUACCAAGAAGACCAGCAUUUUAUGUUAGAAGAGAGAUCUUUGAGGGGGAAACAAUUUCCAAAGGGCAAGACACCGACACCUAUUCUACGACAGCAAUUUCUACUUCAUGUGAAGAAGGGAAAAUAUAAAUAAUAAGCAUCGCCUGUAUAUGGUUUUGGUUUAUAAAACAUACUCAUUUUCUGUGUAAAAAAAAAUCUCGCAAUGGUCCUUUUAUAUGUAUAUUUUCAUAGUUCUCGUUAAUAUAUUUUAGUCUAUAUCAAAUUUUUCAUAGUCCAUGUAAGUGAAAAUUUCUUAGUCCGUCACCAAUCACUUUUAAAUUAUAGCAAGUUUUGUUUAUAAAUGGAAGACAACAAAUUAGUUGCAUAGGCUAUGUAGUAAAAAGCAUACCAAUCACAAAAAUGGAUAACUUUUUAGUUUAAUUGCUUUCACAAAUGGGAGAUUGGAUAGCUUGACUAGUUUGAGCCAAAAGAAAAGAAGUUGGAGGUACUGAGUUUAAACCCAGAUGAAACUCGAACGAAAGAGUAAAUAUUGAUCUAACAACAAAUUACUAAUAUUUUUCGUUAAAAAAAUGCUUUCACAAAAUCUAAGAAGUGGAAAAACCUUACAUGUUAUUCAAGAAGUAAGAAUAAAUGUUGGGUUGUAAGUGUAAGUGGUUAAGUCCAACAUCGCAUGUAAACAUGCAACAUGUUACAUAUAUAAGAGAGUUGACCCAUAUAGUUAACUAGUUUUUUACACCCCGUUUGCACGGGGGAGGAAGUUGUUUUUGCUAAUAUACAGAUUAAUAUUAGAGGUGGUAUUAUGUUGGUUCAACAACUAAAAUGCUAUAUACAUAUAAUAAUUAUGAAUUACGAAUAUAUCAAUCAGAGCAAAUUGAAACAGCAUUGUACCAUAUCUUUUGAAGUCUUGGACCAUUGACUCAUAUCACAUCUACUCUAAAACUAUUGUUCACAUAAAUAGAACAUAUUUUAAUAUGAGCAUUUAUAUAUAUACACCUUUUUGUUUUUCUACACCUUUUCAACACCUCAUUUCUCUCUGUCUCUCUUUCUUAUCAAGUGAGCAAUUUAUCACAUCUAUCACAACACUCUUUUUAUCUCUAUCUCUCUCUAGCGGUAGAUUGAAUUUGGGUGUCUAAAGAUUAUAUUUCUUUCAAUAUAUAUCAAUAGAUUAUAAUGACAGCACCACAUAAAUAGAACAUAUUUCAAUUUCAAUAUUUAAACUACACAACUCCAUUGACAGCGACAUCUCAGUGUCUACAGAGACACCUUAUAAUAUCUUCUAGCUAUCAUGAUAUUUUGGUUUAAAACGUGGCUCUUUUAGACAUGUUGGCUUAAUCCGACGGCAUAGACAAGGCACCCUGCCUUUCAUGCUCCUAAAAGAGUUAGAGAAUCUAUUUUCCUAUCCUCUUGCCUUCUCGCACGCCCUCCUAUUGGAAGAAAAUAUCCCUGUCCGGAUUCUUAAUCCAAACUUUUUUUAUGUAUUUUCAGACUACAUAAUCUUAACCCGGUUAAAAGUCAAUAAACAUAUUGUAAUCCAUAUGAUUAUUUCUUUUGACCAUCGUACUAUCCCUAAAAUACCUAUAUAUAGAUUUUGGGAACAGUAUGAAUACUCAUGAGCAGUGACCAUAUAUGGUAUCAUUACCUGAAGAGGGGAUUUGCAUUGAAUAUAGAGAAUAAUGCAAGGCUAGUUAUAGCCACAAAACCCUCUUGGAGUGUAAGUACAGUCAAAGAAAACGUUUAAAAUGACCAAAGCAACCAAAAAAGCAUAAACAUACCACAAACCGUCCAAACACUUUUUGCAAUGCUAUAGUCCACAUUUUGGACUAGUUCGGAUUAUAUAAUCCAAACAUCUGCCCAAAUUGCUUUGGAUAAGAUACUCUAAUUUUUUCUUUUAGAUUUUGUGCUUCUGAGGGUUAGGCCGGAUUCAAAUUAUAUAAUAUGAGUCGUGCCCAAAACACUGAAAAUUGAAGGAAAAAAACUGUCAUUAAAUCAAAUUCUACAGCAACAACAUUGACAUACAUUAAACAUAACAAUUUCGACCACAUAACUUGAAUAACAUAAUUCAACACUGUAAAAUAACAUAAUAAAAUAACACAUACGCUCAUAAAUCCUCCAAACUAAACUCUUCAUCAGCUAUAUCCUUACAAGUCAUGAUCUCUUCCUAGCUCUGAGGCUGAAUCAAACUUUCCUUGAUAUCAUGAAAAAAUCUUACCAAUGAAGUGUCUAACUCAAAUGACCCUUCUAAAUUGUGCUAACCAAAUAGAGAACAUGGUUCCCACAUCCUAGUUGCUUCAUAGCUUCAUCUGGGUGAACCAGAUGCUUCCAUCUUGGUGGAUCGACGGGUCGCGAUACUCAACGCUGUCCACCCUCCAUGUGUCUUUAUGGUUGAGUCAGCUGUUUAUUUGGUCCAUUUGAUCCUUCAAGACAGACAAUCUGACAUCAACAUGGAUCCUAACCAGAUUAGGUUUCACAUCGUUGUAGUAAACUGAGGCUAGCUUAGUGUUUUUAUCUCUAGAUAAGUGUUGAUAGUAAACAGACCAAUUUAUAUAAGUGUAUGGGAAUCAUGAACAACAUAAAUUGUUGGUGCAAGUGGACCACAAAAAACUAAUAUAUUUGACUAGUUCAGAUUAUAUAAUUUGAAACUUGUCAAAUCCUCCUAAACACAAGUUUUCACACGGUAUGGGUAGGUUUCAAAUUAUAUAAUCUGAACCAAUACAGGAAAGGUUGUAGAUAAUAUAAUCCGAAGCAGUUUAGAAUGUGGACGAAGCAAGAUUGCCUACUUUCAUGUGUUUUUUACCGCAUUUUCAUGGUUUCAACCUCCCCUUGACUGUCAUUACAAUAUAUGUUUGCAUUUUUCCCAUAAAAGUCCACCCAGUCUUCACAAUUUCUCAUUCCAAUUUACAUUCUCUUCUUUUAUUUUUGUUCUUGGAGUUGUCUAUGAUAGCAAUGUUUCACAAUUGGCCUUUCAUACAAAGGUUCAUAUUAUCUAGUGGGGAUAAUAUGAAUGGUUAAAGGGAGUUAUUCCACUCUGCAAAUGUAUAAUGAAUUCUUGAUCAAAUAAUAAACUAGGUUGAAUUCUUGUCAAUUUAAAAUACGAAAAGAUGAUGCCAAUUUUAAUUUUUCUUUAUUAUUUAAUUUUACUCGACAUGUAUAAUCAAAUUAAAACAUAAAGCACAAUAAACAAACCAAUCUGAUUCAUGUUUUUGUAAUUGGCAUGAUUUAAGGGUAAGAGACUAAGAUACAGCGACGUGAUUUAAAUUAGUAUGCUAGGAGGGAGACUUUUGUCCACAAAUCGCAUUUUGUGUUGUUACAAUACCAUUGGUGUUGAUUCUAGUACCUAGAGAAUUAACCUUUGACCGAUUCAACUUUGAAACCACGUAUGAGUAUUUGUGAUAUUAUUUUUUCUUGAGUCCUUUUAUGUUAAGUUGUUGCAUUUAAUUUUUCCGUUUGCAAGCUAAGUUGCUUGAGAUAUAAGCAAUGGUUCAAGUGUGGGGAGUUUGAUAAGAUGCAAAAUGCACCAUCUAAAUAGCUUGAUUUUCAUUUGUUUUAGAGUAGUUUGCCGUGUUUUGCACAGUUGCUGCUGUUGUUUUGCUUGUGUUAUAGGUACUUGAGUGUUGGAAGCAAAAACGGAGCAAAGAGGCUGAAAAUGUAGCUGGUGAUGGUCAUACUCGCAGGAGUGACAGCCAUGAUGUAUCCCUGUGGGACGCCCAUCAGAGCUAGAAGCCGAAAGUCAAGGAAGGAACUGAAAAGGUCAAUGACGGCCAGACCUUCAUAGGGUAUAACGCCCGUCAUGCACCCGGAAGCCGGUGUUUUCAGAUUGCUCUUAAGAGAUUUGCUUGCAAUGCAACUUCUCUGGCAUUUCUUCUGCACGAUUUUGAGAGCUUUCAGCUUAUAAUUUAGGCUGUUAAAGCAACCAAACACUCAGUUUAUUGUACCUUGUGCUACCGUAUUAUAUAUUAUAACUUUCAGAACCUCUGUUUUAUUUUAUUCAGCCAAGUGCUAUUUGUUAUUAUUUCGUUGCUGCUACGUUAAUUUCGAAUCCAAUUAAUUGCCUUAUUACUGUUGUUGUGUUGGUGUGCUUCUGAAGUUCUUUUAUUUUCCCUGUUUGCUGCACUUAAGGUGUUUUUCCUUUCCAUUCCAAUCGUAAUAUAGUACGGCCGCAACUGUUCUCUUUGUUCAAAGUGUUCGUCGAUUUACAGGUUUUGUCCCUUUAUUUACUUUUUAAUAUGAAUUCACCUAAGAUAAAUUUAGAGUAUUAUUUCAAUAUGUGUAGUUUAAUUGAGUCCAUAACGAGAGGACAGUCGUACCGACAGAACUCAUAAAUUAAAUGUCUAUUUGAUUACAACAAGAAUAAAAUCAAUGUUCUGAAAAUUUUGUUUUAAUUUAAAGCUUUACAACGAAAGUAGAAACAUAGAAAUAUCGCUUACGCGUAGAAAGAGCGGCAGCGGUAUUGGACUUAGAAAAUUCAGAUUUUUAAUCAAGUUAGUAGUGAUAAAACUUUUCUAAAAUCCGACAACGGAUUGCGAAAGCAAACGAUGUCUCUAAUUUGGUAUUAUUCUAGAAAAAUAUUAUAUUCUCGUCACAGCUAAGCACCAUAAUUUGUAUGAGUAACUUAGGUGGACGAAAAUCAUUGUUUUGGCCUAUCGUUGUUAUUAUUAAAUUAAAUUCUGUAUUUUAUUUUUAACGCGAAACAAAUUGUUUUGAAUUAGCCUUUGAUAAACAAAGAAACGACAGAUAGCAGUACUUAUAAGUUAGUAUCUACGGAAUCGACAAGCCUUUAUACUAAAACCAAUAUAGCCGUACACUUGCGGCGUAUCAUUUGUUACGUUCAAUUUUGUUAAGUCUCUAAUUUAUUUUUCUUUUCCAGUUUUCCUUUUUUAUGAAGUUAUCAAGCAUACAGGUAGUUUUGUAUAGGUUUUGAAAGGUACUCUUACUUUCGGUAACAAUAUUAUUUUUGGUAUAAUUAGCCCCAUCUGUAGAAUGAUUUUAGCAUCAUUAUAUGCAGACUAAUUAGCAUCACCCUGGAGUGGUAAACAUCAAGGCAGCAAGUGGAGGAGAGAAGCAUUUGAGUCACUAUUUUAAGUUUGAUGGUAAAGAAUUAACUAAAACUGUAUUUAAAAUUGUUUACUAGAUAAUGGCUAUGAUUGAGCUACUAAACGGUAACAUUUUGUUUUUGCAUGUUACUAAUACUACUCUUAAAGUUACUUAAACCAUUUAGUAACAUGGACUUUACCCAGCAUUUAUCAAAUGUUACUAGAUCUAAGAUCUGAAAAAAGUUUAUACACUAAGACAUGAGAAGGAUGGUUUCAGUUUCAAAUCUUAGGAUGCAUUGCACAUCUUUUUGAACUCCAACUUUUUGGCUCUCAUCAGAUUUCAUGUGCCACAUAGUCUAAUCAAACCAACGUUAUCUUUACUUUCCACUACAUUCUCCAACACUUUAUUUUUCUUUUUAAGAAAAGAAUAAUAGAUCAGUUUACUUUGACACAAUUGUUGAAUGAUAAGUGAUGGAAAGUUAAUACUUCACUGUUGUCUGUUCCUACUGUUGACAUACUUUGACACAAUUAUUAUUGUAUUAAAGUAAACUUCUUUUAAAAAAAGUAGUAGAGAAAGGUAGUCUAGUCUGUGCAACAUUUAGUAGUGGAAAAAUAAAGAUAAAGUUGAUUUGACAUUAACUUUGUGAACUAGAACAAACUCUGAUAAGGGUCUAAAAUCAGUUGUAUCAAAUUUCCAACCAAAGUUGGGCAGUGCAGAUUGCAAGAAACAAGUUGGUGAGUAUUUCUCUUCUUUUUUAAACAAUAUUCAUCAAUCAUGAUAAGCUUUGAAAUAAAGAAACAAGUUGUAUUGAUAUACCUAUGGUUGUGGUGGAACACUACUAGCAUUUGUGUUAAAGCAACAAAUGAUAGUUUGAGGCCAGGUGAUAAAUUGGAUGCAAAUUCCAACCUAUGUUCUAAACAAGGCAUGUAUUGUCUAUAUUUCAAUAGCGAAGAAGCUCACUUGGUUAUAAGUAGUGGUUUUGAUGGCCCAGUAGUGUGGAUGUAUGAUAGAAAUCAACCCAUAGACAUAUAUUCAGCAGUUCUAUCACUAGACUACUCUGGUGUGCUCAAAAUAGAAUUUCAAAAUAGGAAUGUACCGAUUAUCAUUUAUUAUUUGCCUGAACCAACCAACGACACUGUGGCCACUAUGUUAGACACAGGUAACUUUGUGCUUCAACAACUUCACCCAAAUGGGACAAAGAGUAUACUAUGGCAGAGUUUUGACUAUCCAACAGAUAGUUUGAUCCCAACGAUGAAGUUAGGUGUUAAUCGAAAAACAGGACAUAAUUGGUCAUUGGUUUCACGGUUGGCUCAUUCGCGACCAACUUCAGGUGAAUUUAGUCUUGAAUGGGAACCAAAAGAAGGUGAAUUGAACAUAAGGAAAAGCGGCAAAGUGCAUUGGAAAAGCGGAAAACUUAGAAGUAAUGGAAUAUUCGAGAACAUUCCAGCGAAAGUUCAAAGUAUAUAUCGGUACAUUAUUGUGUCUAACAAGGAUGAAGAUUCUUUUGCUUUCGAAGUUAAUGAUGGGAAUUUUAUACGAUGGUUCAUAUCCCCGAAGGGGAGGUUAAUAAGUGAUGCUGGAAGCACUGCUAAUGCAGACAUGUGUUAUGGAUAUAAAAGUGAUGAAGGGUGCCAAGUUGCAAACGAAGACAUGUGUUAUGGAUAUAAUAGCGAUGGAGGGUGCCAAAAAUGGGAGGAAAUACCAAAUUGUAGGGAACCUGGUGAGGUUUUUCGGAAAAAGGUGGGAAGACCAAAUAAAGACAAUGCAACAACUACUGAAGGUGAUGUGAAUUAUGGUUAUAGUGAUUGCAAGAUGAG